rnacentral:rRNA from 1 species
GACGAACGCUGGCGGCGUGCCUAAUACAUGCAAGUUGAGCGAUGAAGAUUGGUGCUUGCACCAAUUUGAAGAGCAGCGAACGGGUGAGUAACGCGUGGGGAAUCUGCCUUUGAGCGGGGGACAACAUUUGGAAACGAAUGCUAAUACCGCAUAACAACUUUAAACAUAAGUUUUAAGUUUGAAAGAUGCAAUUGCAUCACUCAAAGAUGAUCCCGCGUUGUAUUAGCUAGUUGGUGAGGUAAAGGCUCACCAAGGCGAUGAUACAUAGCCGACCUGAGAGGGUGAUCGGCCACAUUGGGGCUGAGACACGGCCCAAACUCCUACGGGAGGCAGCAGUAGGGAAUCUUCGGCAAUGGACGAAAGUCUGACCGAGCAACGCCGCGUGAGUGAAGAAGGUUGUCGGAUCGUAAAACUCUGUUGGUAGAGAAGAACGUUGGUGAGAGUGGAAAGCUCAUCAAGUGACGGUAACUACCCAGAAAGGGACGGCUAACUACGUG